AAUCAACGCUGGCGGCGUGCCUAACACAUGCAAGUCGAACGAGAAAGUGGAGCAAUCCAUGAGUAAAGUGGCGCACGGGUGAGUAACACGUGACUAACCUACCCUUGAGUGGGGGAUAACCUCGGGAAACCGGGGCUAAUACCGCAUAACACCGAGAGGUCAAAGGAGCAAUUCGCUUAAGGAGGGGUCGCGGCUGAUUAGUUAGUUGGCAGGGUAAUGGCCUACCAAGACGAUGAUCAGUAUCCGGCCUGAGAGGGCGCACGGACACACUGGAACUGAAACACGGUCCAGACUCCUACGGGAGGCAGCAGUGGGGAAUUUUGGCGCAAUGGGGAAACCCUGACGCAGCAACGCCGCGUGGAGGAUGAAGUCCCUUGGGACGUAAACUCCUUUCGAUCGGGACGAUUAUGACGGUACCGGAAGAAGAAGCCCCGGCUAACUUCGUGCCAGCAGCCG
rnacentral:rRNA from 1 species